AACGAACGCUGGCGGCAGGCUUAACACAUGCAAGUCGAACGGGUGUAGCAAUACAUCAGUGGCAGACGGGUGAGUAACACGUGGGAACCUUCCUAGGGGUACGGAACAACUCAGGGAAACUUGAGCUAAUACCGUAUACGUCCGUGAGGAGAAAGAUUUAUCGCCCUUAGACGGGCCCGCGUCGGAUUAGCUAGUUGGUGGGGUAACGGCCUACCAAGGCGACGAUCCGUAGCUGAUCUUAGAGGAUGAUCAGCCACACUGGGACUGAGACACGGCCCAGAGUCCUACGGGAGGCAGCAGUGGGGAAUCUUGGACAAUGGGCGCAAGCCUGAUCCAGCCAUGCCGCGUGAGUGAAGAAGGUCUUCGGAUUGUAAAGCUCUUUUGCCAGGGACGAUAAUGACGGUACCUGGAGAAUAAGCCCCGGCAAACUUCGUGCCAGCAGCCGCUGUAA
rnacentral:rRNA from 1 species